rnacentral:rRNA from 1 species
GUGGGGAAUAUUGGUCAAUGGGCGCAAGCCUGAACCAGCCACGCCGCGUGAGUGAUGAAGGCCUUCGGGUUGUAAAGCUCUGUGGGGAGGGACGAAAACGGUCCGGAAGAAACGACGGAUCCUUGACGGUACCUCCUUAGCAAGCACCGGCUAACUCUGUGCCAGCAGCCGCGGUAAUACAGAGGGUGCGAACGUUGCUCGGAAUUACUGGGCGUAAAGCGCGUGUAGGCGGGACGAUAAGUCGGAAGUGAAAUCCCCGGGCUCAACCCGGGAACUGCUUUCGAAACUGCCGUCCUCGAGUACCGGAGAGGGUGGCGGAAUUCCUGGUGUAGAGGUGAAAUUCGUAGAUAUCAGGAGGAACACCGGUGGCGAAGGCGGCCACCUGGACGGUCACUGACGCUGAGACGCGAAAGCGUGGGGAGCAAACAGGAUUAGAAACCCUGGUAGUCC